rnacentral:lncRNA from 1 species
GGAGAAGAGUUGGUUUCCAAGUAAAAUUACAAUUACCCCCAUCAAAGGUGUGCUGUCAAAUUUCGAAAAAAACCUAAUUGAAGCCCAACGUCAAAUACUGUAGAAUACGUGUUUCUCCCACUUCUUGGAAUGUGAGGAAAUCGUUGUCCAAUUUCAGUUGAUGCAUUAUUUUUCUGUUGAGAUGGGUGCAACAACCUAAUGACAGUGAGCUAUGGUUUAACAUAGUCGGAAGAUUUGUAAA